rnacentral:lncRNA from 1 species
GACGACUUUCAGGAGUGGGUUCUUUCCUUCUAGGCUGUGGAUUCCAGGAAUUGAACUCAGUCUUGGCAGCAAGCACCUUUAACCAUUAAGCCAUCUCCACAGCCCCAGACACAAGCUCUUAAAGAUGAGAAUUUGGAUCUUAUUCUCUGAAUCUGACUGAAUUCGAACGAAUCACCAGGUCACUGAACCUGUAAUGGCCCCUGAAGGGAUACUUCACCAAGGCAGCUGGUCAGCCUGGAACCUACAGUCACCGCCUCUUUCUAAUUCAAGUCACAGCAGGUCCUGGCAGUGCCACACACACCAAAAGAACCUUGAGAGUUUGUCUGUCUGUAAAAUCUUUGGAACGCAUUCUUCUCAGACCACUAUCUUCCAACAACUGCAAAGCUGAGAAUGUGAAGAGACGCCAUCUGAGAUCCACGGCAGAGAUCUCCCUGCUCUGGUGACGGUUCCCACAAGGUAUUGGGAAGGUGCUUUGGACUGUGGCUUCCUUCUGCUCUGUGACUAAGAAAACUUCAUGGGGCUGAUUCCAUGGCGAAGUUUGUUACUCAAGGUACCUAGACUCUGUCCCUCGGCCAUGACGAUCACAUUUGGCUCAGAAUAAAUGUUUCUGCUUUUAGGUG